CUUCUGUUCCUUUCUUCUGCAGGGGGAAGGAUGAUGCCAUCCUCCUUAAAGGCCCAUAUGCUUCAUUCUGACAGACAGGGCUAUGAAGAAUUGGAAAGACAGCUGGAAGAAGUCUAUAAGGAAAGGAGCAACAUACUUCAUCAACUGUUAAAGACUUCUAAAGAACUUCAGGGGCUUAAAGUAAACCUCCAGGUUGGAUCUUUGCUGCUGAAUUCAUGACACUCAGUUUAGUUGCUCAGUUUUCCUUUCUGACGUGCCAUCUGCACAGUCGGACUGGAUUUACUGCAGGGCAUGGCUUGCCAAGUUCAGCUGACAAACUGUGCUAGAUGAGCCUGAAGUGAGAGCUGAGACUUCGCUGCCUUUAACUUCUGGGUGUCAUGGUGAGGCUGAAAGGGCGAUGGAUGAACUCUCAACUCAAACCUCAAAGCUCCUCAGAGGAAAAACCAGAUUGAAAAUGCUGCCCUGGAUCUGGGGUCCAGAUAUUCCGCUGAGGGAGCACCUGUGUUUUCCCAGUAGUGUCUGUUGGUCUGGUGAAAACAAUUAGACUCAUUAUCAGUUGAAGUUGGUCUCUGUAUUUCAUGCCACUUUAAAGGAAAUUAUUUUUCUGACAAUACAUUUUUAUCUUCAUCGAUGUAAGCUAUCUGGGAAAAGUAAAAGGAGAAGCGGCACUGCCUGUUCACAGGAGAGUACUAGUGGUGUGUAUCAGUCCGGUGCUAUAUUAUAUUAUGAUGGUUUAUUGUCCUGUGUUCCAGCCUUCUCUGGUUUUAAUUAAUCAACCCUUUGAUCUUUGGGGUUUUGGGUUCGGGAGUUGGGUUUAGUUUUGAGGGGUUUUUGGAGUGCUUUAUCACUGUUAUAGUAGGCUUUUUCUUACUUUGUAGAGAAAUGGGCUUCUCCUUGUAGCAAAUUGAUUUUAGCUUGUAGCACAGUUGGAGGUAGUAUUCAGCAAAAUCACACUGUGAAAUAUUAUAGGCUUAACACUACGGAGAUCCUGAUGUGGGCAAAGAGCUGUGCUAUUAUCUUCUGUACACGCACACACUUCCUGGGUCAUAAAAUUCUAAUGCUUUGAGUCAUUUGUCUGUUUCUAAAUCUGCUUAUUGUAUUUACCUCCCAUUUAGUAUCUGGAAAGUGCACGGCUGUGUGCAGCUUUUGUGUUUGAGUUGCAGUAAAAGAAAAGUCAGACUAUUCUUCCAAUUUUCUCAAGGGGUAAUGUCUGCAAUUCACCAGGACUAUUUUAUGAACGAGGGCCAGAUACUUUCAAGAUUAAUAAUAAUAAGGAUCUCUUUAAUAGAGGUUUUUUGUUGUUGUUGCUAUCAGUCUUAAAUAAUGAUGAAGCAUCAACCCAAACUGAUGUGCAGAAACUUGUGGAGCUGGGCCAAAACCAAAGGUAUUCCUGGCAAAUCUGUUAAGUUACAGAGGCAAGACUUUAGCUGAUGCCCUCUUUAAGUGCUUAGGUGGCUUGGAUGUGACUGAAGGCGUACAUCUCGGCAUCACAGAUUUCCUUCGCGCGGACGAAAUCCUUCGUCGUACACGAACGCCGUUUUGUGCUGGUUUGUCUGUUGUGCAACUUUCCUUUAUGAAAUCGAGACGUGAAUUGCUUAAAAGUAGUAAUGGACAGGUUAGUGAAUAGAUCUUAGGUGCAGAUGGGGAAAUGGAGUGUGCUAAAAGGAAAUUUGAUUGCAUAUUUCAAAGAUUCUUCCUAAUCACCACUUGCAGUCUCUCAAGAUCCACCCAAAAAUACGUGUUGACUUUUGCUUCUAAGGCCUCCAGACACUGAGUGUACUGCACAAGGGCGGUUCCCAGAAAUCAAGAGUGGGUCAGUGCAAUCUGCUGCUGGGCAGCCCACUCCAUCGUUCAGAAGAUGAAAGGUUUGA